AACCAGACUCCUACGGGAGGCAGCAGUGGGGAAUAUUGCACAAUGGGGGAAACCCUGAUGCAGCGACGCCGCGUGAGUGAAGAAGUAUUUCGGUAUGUAAAGCUCUAUCAGCAGGGAAGAAAAUGACGGUACCUGACUAAGAAGCCCCGGCUAACUACGUGCCAGCAGCCGCGGUAAUACGUAGGGGGCAAGCGUUAUCCGGAUUUACUGGGUGUAAAGGGAGCGUAGACGGCCAGACAAGUCAGAAGUGAAAGCCCAGGGCUCAACCCUGGGACUGCUUUUGAAACUGCCGGGCUGGAGUGCAGGAGAGGUAAGCGGAAUUCCUAGUGUAGCGGUGAAAUGCGUAGAUAUAAGGAAGAACACCAGUGGCGAAGGCGGAUGACUGGACGGCAACUGACGGUGAGGCGCGAAAGCGUGGGGAGCAAACAGGAUUAGAUACCCGCGUA
rnacentral:rRNA from 1 species